rnacentral:rRNA from 1 species
CCUACGGGAGGCAGCAGUGAGGAAUAUUGGUCAAUGGCCAGAAGGCUGAACCAGCCAAGCCGCGUGAAGGACGGAGGUGCCAAGCAUUGUAAACUUCUUUUGUCAAGGGACAAAAUCAGGCUCGAGAGCCUGACCGAGGGUACUCGAAGAAAAAGCAUCGGCUAACGCCGUGCCAGCAGCGGCGGUAAUAAGGAGGAUGCGAGCGUUAGCCGGAUUUAUUGGGUUUAAAGGGUGGAUAGGGGGUCUGUUAAGUCCGCGGUAAAAGCGCGGGGUUCAACCGCGGCGGGCAGAUGAGACUGGCUGUCUAGAGAAGUCGAGAGGGAUGCGGAAUGCGCGGUGUAGCAGUGAAAUGCUUAGAUAUUGCGAAGAACACUGAUUGCGAAGGCAGGAUACCGGCGGCGAUCUGACGCUGAGGCACGAAAGCGUGGGUAGCGAAAAGGAUUAGAUACCCGUGUAGUC